AACGAACGCUGGCGGCGUGCCUAACACAUGCAAGUCGAACGAGAAAGGGGCUUCGGCCCUGAGUAAAGUGGCGCACGGGUGAGUAACACGUAGGUAACCUGCCUCCAAGAUUGGGAUGACAUGUCGAAAGACGUGCUAAUACCGAAUAAGACCACAGUAUCCUCGGAAACAGGGGUCAAAGGUCGCCUCUAUUUAUAAGCUACCACUUAGAGAUGGGCCUGUGUACCAUUAGCCAGUUGGUAGGGUAACGGCCUACCAAGGCAAAGAUGGUUAGCGGGUCUGAGAGGAUGAUCAGCCACACUGGAACUGAGACACGGUCCAGACUCCUACGGGAGGCAGCAGUGGGGAAUAUUGCGCAAUGGGCGAAAGCCUGACGCAGCAACGCCGCGUGAGUGAUGAAGGCCUUCGGGUCGUAAAGCUCUGUCGGAGGGAACGAAUGUUUCUGAGGUUAAUAGCCUCAGGAAGUGACGGUACCCUCAAAGGAAGCACCGGCUAACUCUGUGCCAGCCGCCGCCGUAACAC
rnacentral:rRNA from 1 species